UCGGAGGGAGAGAGAGCGAGUGUGUGUGUGUGUGUGUCAGAGAGAGAGAAAGAGAGAGAUGGAGGGAGGAGUGAACGACAGACGGGAAAUGAAUCACAAGCUGCAGGAGAAUAGGUUGUCAGUGUCCAGAGCUCCAAGGUCUGACUCUCAUUAAAGUGUCCGUGCGUCUCUCUCACCUCUAGGAUGGAGGGGCUGCUGCGGCUGGCUCUACCCGGAGCGUGAGGAGCCUUCCUAGGCUUUGUCUGCGUCAUCCUCCCCGCUGUCUCUCUCUGCCCUGGUCCCCCUCUACUCAUCCAUCACUCAACCUCUGCAGUACAAGAGAGCAUCCGGACCCACACACACCUCCCCCCUAAUCCCCCACACUGAGUCGCCAGGGCAACCAUGGAUGGACUGCGCCUGCCACCGGUCAUCGAGGAGGUCAUGGACCCUGCAGAUGACAUAUGUGACCUGAAGGCGGAGAGGCCUGGCAUGGUGGACAAGCUGACGGCCAAAGAGAGGGAGUCCCUGGAGGAGAAUGAUGAGAAGGAGGAGAAAGAGAAGGAGGUGGAGGUGGGGAACGGAGAGAAG